GUGGCGGACGGGUGAGUAACGCGUAAAGAACUUGCCUUACAGACUGGGACAACAUUUGGAAACGAAUGCUAAUACCGGAUAUUAUGACUGAGUCGCAUGAUUUGGUUAUGAAAGCUAUAUGCGCUGUGAGAGAGCUUUGCGUCCCAUUAGUUAGUUGGUGAGGUAACGGCUCACCAAGACGAUGAUGGGUAGCCGGCCUGAGAGGGUGAACGGCCACAAGGGGACUGAGACACGGCCCUUACUCCUACGGGAGGCAGCAGUGGGGAAUAUUGGACAAUGGACCAAAAGUCUGAUCCAGCAAUUCUGUGUGCACGAUGAAGUUUUUCGGAAUGUAAAGUGCUUUCAGUUGGGAAGAAGUCAGUGACGGUACCAACAGAAGAAGCGACGGCUAAAUACGUGCCAGCAGCCGCGGUAAUACGUAUGUCGCAAGCGUUAUCCGGAUUUAUUGGGCGUAAAGCGCGUCUAGGCGGUUUAGUAAGUCUGAUGUGAAAAUGCGGGGCUCAACCCCGUAUUGCGUUGGAAACUGUUAAACUAGAGUACUGGAGAGGUAGGCGGAACUACAAGUGUAGAGGUGAAAUUCGUAGAUAUUUGUAGGAAUGCCGAUGGGGAAGCCAGCCUACUGGACAGAUACUGACGCUAAAGCGCGAAAGCGUGGGUAGCAAACAGGAUUAGAUACCCUGGUAGUCCACGCCGUAAACGAUGAUUACUAGGUGUUGGGGGUCGAACCUCAGCGCCCAAGCUAACGCGAUAAGUAAUCCGCCUGGGGAGUACGUACGCAAGUAUGAAACUCAAAGGAAUUGACGGGGAACCCGCACAAGCGGUGGAGCAUGUGGUUUAAUUCGACGCAACGCGAGGAACCUUACCAGCGUUUGACAUCCCAAGAAGUUAACAGAGAUGUUUUCGUGCCCCUUCGGAGGAACUUGGUGACAGGUGGUGCAUGGCUGUCGUCAGCUCGUGUCGUGAGAUGUUGGGUUAAGUCCCGCAACGAGCGCAACCCCUUUCGUAUGUUACCAUCAUUAAGUUGGGGACUCAUGCGAGACUGCCUGCGAUGAGCAGGAGGAAGGUGGGGAUGACGUCAAGUCAUCAUGCCCCUUAUACGCUGGGCUACACACGUGCUACAAUGGGUAGUACAGAGAGCUGCAAACCUGCGAGGGUAAGCUAAUCUCAUAAAACUAUUCUUAGUUCGGAUUGUACUCUGCAACUCGAGUACAUGAAGUUGGAAUCGCUAGUAAUCGCAAAUCAGCUAUGUUGCGGUGAAUACGUUCUCGGGUCUUGUACACACCGCCCGUCACACCACGAGAGUUGGUUGCACCUGAAGUAACAGGCCUAACCGUAAGGAAGGGAUNUCCGAGGGUG
rnacentral:rRNA from 1 species